CCCAGACUCCUACGGGAGGCAGCGGUGGGGAAUAUUGCACAAUGGGGGGAACCCUGAUGCAGCGACGCCGCGUGAGGGAAGAAGGUUUUCGGAUUGUAAACCUCUGUCCUCUGUGACGAUAAUGACGGUAGCAGAGGAGGAAGCCACGGCUAACUACGUGCCAGCAGCCGCGGUAAUACGGAGGAUGCGAGCGUUAUCCGGAUUUAUUGGGUUUAAAGGGUGCGUAGGCGGAAUGCCAAGUCAGCGGUAAAAUCGGGGGGCUCACCCUCGCUCCGCCGUUGAAACUGGCGUUCUUGAGUGGGCGAGAAGUAUGCGGAAUGCGUGGUGUAGCGGUGAAAUGCAUAGAUAUCACGCAGAACUCCGAUUGCGAAGGCAGCAUACCGGCGCCCAACUGACGCUGAAGCACGAAAGCGUGGGUAUCGAACAGGAUUAGAUACCCUCGUA
rnacentral:rRNA from 1 species